rnacentral:rRNA from 1 species
ACUACAUAUCAAUAAGCGGAGGAAAAGAAACCAACAGGGAUUGCCCUAGUAACGGCGAGUGAAGCGGCAACAGCUCAAAUUUGAAAUCUGGCCCUUUCAGGGUCCGAGUUGUAAUUUGUAGAGGGUGCUUUGGUGUUGGCUGCGGUCUAAGUUCCUUGGAACAGGACGUCACAGAGGGUGAGAAUCCCGUACGUGGUCGACAGUCUUCACCGUGUAAAGCCCCUUCGACGAGUCGAGUUGUUUGGGAAUGCAGCUCUAAAUGGGAGGUAAAUUUCUUCUAAAGCUAAAUAUUGGCCAGAGACCGAUAGCGCACAAGUAGAGUGAUCGAAAGAUGAAAAGCACUUUGGAAAGAGAGUCAAAAAGCACGUGAAAUUGUUGAAAGGGAAGCGCUUGCAAUCAGACUUGCCUGUAGUUGCUCAUCUAGGCUCUUGCCUGGUGCACUCUUCUGCGGGCAGGCCAGCAUCAGUUCAGGCGGCUGGAUAAAGGCCUCUAUCACGUAUCUUCCUUCGGGAUGACCUUAUAGGGGAGGUGUAAUGCAGCCAGCCUGGAUUGAGGUCCGCGCAUCUGCUAGGAUGCUGGCGUAAUGAUUGUAAGCGGCCCGUCUUGAAACACGGACCAAGGAGUCUAACAUCUAUGCGAGUGUUUGGGUGUCAAGCCCGGACGCGCAAUGAAAGUGAACGGAGGUGGGAACCCUUUGGGUGCACCAUCGACCGAUCCUGAUGUCUUCGGAUGGAUUUGAGUAAGAGCAUAGCUGUUGGGACCCGAAAGAUGGUGAACUAUGCCUGAAUAGGGUGAAGCCAGAGGAAACUCUGGUGGAGGCUCGCAGCGGUUCUGACGUGCAAAUCGAUCGUCAAAUUUGGGCAUAGGGGCGAAAGACUAAUCGAACUAUCUAGUAGCUGGUUCCUGC